CACUCACACUGUAAAACAGCCUGUGAACUCUGUAAAACGACCUAUGAACUUUGACCCAUCCAUGCAACCAUCUAGAACCAUCCAUCCAGAACCACUACUUGUCUCCUUGAGCAUUCUUAAUAUAUAGAAUACCCUGAACCUCAUGUCAUGAUUAUUAGCUGCAUUCUCGCGUCAAGAAGGAGAAGCAUCGGAAGUUACGUCUGAACGUGAUGAGCUCGUAAAUCAACGAUAUCUCUGUGAACACGAAAGCUUUAAAGCCGCCCUAAUGAGUUCCAAGCACUCGCAAAUGAUGAGGACAUGAAACCAAAAUAUGUGGAUCGUCACUCAACUGGUUGCUUCUACGGUGCGGCAAUCGUGCAACACAGGCCACGAAGAGUCUUGCAGUCCGCAUGGACAUUCGCCUCAUCAUUCCCACGACAACUGCAUGAUGUCGGAAAAUUAGCAUGUUUUUGACGGCAACGAUUGCAAACUAUGAUUAUGUAGAGGACUCUCAGAUGAAUCAAAAUAUGCAGAGAUCUUCAACACUCCGAUCCUUACUAAACAAGACUGAACAUUGAGGGAAUAGAUGUUCAAGAGUUCACAUGCUUCAGAAUGCUUCACAAGGCUGAAGAUAACGCCGUUACCACAUCCUGAGGAAUUUUUGUCUAAAGUUUUAAGUCAUGUUGUAAUCAAACUCCACAUUUCCAAGUAUGGGGUAGAAUUUCUGUCAUUCCACUAAGUUUGUGCUUCUGCAACAGCAGGAAGUCACUUGAGGGGUGGAAGAAUUUAUUGUAGUUUCUUAGUUCAUGAAGCUUUACUAAAUCAAAGAGAUGUCUGUCUGAUGUCUAGGGAACUAAGGUUGGUUUUCAGAUGAGAAUUACUGAAGAUCUUAAGGGUCAACUAAUCAUUUGAUGUUGGCUCAAAAUUAAGUGAAGUUUAUGUUUGUGACUUUUUGGUGUUGUUA